rnacentral:lncRNA from 1 species
UGUGAAAAUGUUUCUUCGUAUUGUUUUAACAAUGCUACAAUGCUACUUUUGAAAGGACCAAAGGAUUCAUCUUGUUUUGGAUUCAUAGCUCAUCCCACUAGAGAACAUGAGGCUUGACACUGCUACUGUCACAAUGGGAGACAGCCUCAGGAUGAAGCCAACACUCAGAGAAUGACAAAAUCAAAACUUGGAGAUUAACUGACCUCAUAUAGCAUUGCAUAAGCCCCUGAAUCAAGUUAUGCCUGAAGCUUAGUCCUUGAGCCUUCAACUACAUGAACCAAUAUAUUUCUCUAAUUAACCAGGAGAAACGGACUUUCUUUAAAUCAUCAAUCUUUAAAAACAUCAAGAAAUGGUGGUCUUCAACAAAUGAGGAGGAAUGAAGGAGAAUGAUCCUAUUUUCCAGUGAAUUAUCACUUUACUUUGGAGACUUUGUGGGAAGACUUACUACGAAAGUUCCUUUUGAAGAACUGAAGUGAUCUUAUCCCUGCCUGAAAAUGUAACUCUCCUUCUCUAGUAAUAUAAUGACCAGAGAAGAGUGUUAUUUCAGCUGAUUAAAAUAGCUUUGUUGUAAAGGACCUUUUUAUUGCAUUGGGCCCAUCUGGAUAUCCCAGGAUAAUCUCCCUACUUCAAUUCCAUGACAGCCCAUCUAUGUGGCUGGCAGAGAGAAUGAAGGCAAGGAGAAUGUAAGAACUCAGAAGGCAAGAAGAGAAGCUGGCAUUAGAAUGCGGUUGAACAAGAGAAAGAGUUGGAGAUGCUGAGUUCUGGAGGCAGAUCUACCUAAGGAGGAACUCUCUGUUCAUCGUCUUCCAUGGCCUCAUCUGUGAUGGACACUGGAGAAUAAACCUUUCUUAAAGGCUGCAUAGCAUUGUACCCCAUUUUCCUGCUGGUGUAGAAAAUGGUUAUUUGAAGAAGUGAUUGACUCCAGGGCGAGAGCAAGAAAAGUACAAUAAGAAUUUAAAACAUCUUCCACAGCCGGAAAGUAAGAAGUAUUCAAAAGGUGAUGUGGAGUCUUACCAAAAGGAUAUGGGAGCUAACUGGGAAAAGUACUCGAUGGCCAAAUCUGGAAAAAUUGAGCAAAAAAAAUUUAUUUAGGAUGUCUCUCCAUCCUGACAAUUCCAGAAUGCAGAGCAUGUGGCCAUUUUGAUCUGAAAAAACACUAAAGAAUGAGUAUUUCUUCUCAAGAACGAACACCACAAAGCCUUUCCUCAUCUAUUCAGAACCUCAUCUAUUCAGAACCUCAUCUACUCAGAAUUUAAAAACAUUAUUUAAGAAGAGACAAGGAAAAAAAGAUGGAGGGAUGAUUUUUGUGCCAUUUCAGGGUGACAGAAAAGGAAACAAGGAGAGCUGGAAUUGACCUGGAUCCUUGUGGGAAAUACUUCAGUGAUGGAUGGAAGCAGAGGGAGAAAGGACCAAAAUGAAGCCAGGAGGGACAAGAUGGCUGGAAUGUUUGGUUCUGAGGAUUCAUGAUUGUCCUUAACUCACACGGACUGAACUCUCGCUUGCCUGUCUUCCUGGGGCUUGUGUAAGAACAUCCUGCAGAAAAGUAUUAACAACGCGAGUGAUCUUCACUGUGUUUAACGAUUCAUUGAUUGUAAAAGAUGUUUUACCUGGGAUAACAAUGAGUGUGUAUUCCUGGAGCCUAAACUCACUGACCUGGAAGGGGGCCCCGAGAAGUGUGCUAAGUGGACAAAGGAAGCCUGGCUAGAGUUUAUAGUUUUCUAACUAGAUAAUUGAGUGAACUAAAAGGUCUUUUAUUAUCCUUAUGUGGAUUACGUACUUUGCAGGAUAUGCAUAGUCAUUAUUAAAACCGAGUCCUGCCAAUGAGAUGUAGACAGAAGUCUACUGAGACUGGCUUCUUUUCACCAACAAAAAGACAAAGCCCUUCAAGGAGAAGUCUUUAGGCCUAAUUGCCUCAUUUUUGCCUGGAACAUGGAUGUGAUUUCUGGAGGCGCACCAGCCACUGCAGGGCCCUGUUCAUAAAGUUAUGGAUGCUCACAUGUGCAAAGUUAAAGGGCCACAUCUGGUGAGGGCUUUCUUGCUGGUGAGGAUUCUCUGAAGAGUAUUGAGGCAGCAGAGGACAUCACAUGCAUCGCUAGCGAACUUUGCAUGAAUGCACCUUCAGGGCCCUUCAGUUACUGCAGCUAUGAAGCAGUGGCACAUAAGGGAAGUUUCCUUCUCUUUGGGGAAUCAUAAAUAAAAUAGUGGUGUAAUCAAGGACAGAAGAAAAAAGAGACUUCAGACAGAUUUCUUCCGAGUCACCGGUGGGAGCUUCCCAGGGAGAUGCGGCUUUAUUCCCUCAUGGCAGACAGGAGGAGGAUGCUGAGCGGGAGCUGAUGCCACCUGGCAGCAAUGGUGGCACAGACUGCUGGAGAGGCACAGAUUGGAACCCAAGCCUCAUCAGACGGCAGCUGUGACAGCGGCAUAUUUCAAAAAUGUAUUGCAAAUUUCACACAAGGGGUCUUUAAAAAAAUUUGAAAGUCUCCUUGGCUUUCACAGACUUUUAAUUAAGAGAGAACUCCUCUUCUUUGAAAAUCAAAACACUUUUUGCCUAUUUUAUGUAUCUAAAGGUAGAUGGGAACUUACAGCCACAUUUAAAAAAUUUGCAGUUGAUUAUGUGGUUUUCAAAUUUAAUAACCUACUAUGAAUAAUUAACUCAACAAGAAGAAAAGGGCACAUUGGCACCUCACAAUUAAAAGAGUAAGAGUGAAAUU